AGCAAUUGGUACAACCAACAUUAGCAGAAAAAGUAUUUAGUACGCAGUAUUUUUACAGUGAAUUCAUAGGCUUGUCAAAUGCCUCUGUAAAAACAGGUACAAACUAACUUAACAAGGAAAUAAUCAGAUUUUUGUAAAAGAUGCCAUUGAUUAAAAUUUACUUCCCAGUGUCCAACUUUGUGCUUUCCUAUAUAGAUUUCUAUGGUUGUAUCCUUUGCUAC